GAUGAAGAACGUAGCGAAAUGCGAUAAGUAAGUGAAUUGCAGAAUUCAGUGAAUCAUCGAAUCUUUGAACGCACAUUGCGCCCCCUGGUAUUCCGGGGGGCAUGCCUGUUCGAGCGUCAUUUCACCACUCAAGCCUCGCUUGGUAUUGGGCAACGCGGUCCGCCGCGUGCCUCAAAUCGACCGGCUGGGUCUUCUGUCCCCUAAGCGUUGUGGAAACUAUUCGCUAAAGGGUGUUCGGGAGGCUACGCCGUAAAACAACCCCAUUUCUAAGGUUGACCUCGGAUCAGGUAGGGAUACCCGCUGAACUUAAGCAUAUCAAUAAGCGGAGGA
rnacentral:misc_RNA from 1 species